rnacentral:rRNA from 1 species
GAUGAACGCUGGCGGCGUGCUUAACACAUGCAAGUCGAACGGAAAGGCCCAAGCUUGCUUGGGUACUCGAGUGGCGAACGGGUGAGUAACACGUGGGUGAUCUGCCCUGCACUUCGGGAUAAGCCUGGGAAACUGGGUCUAAUACCGGAUAGGACCACAUUUUGGAUGGUGUGGUGGAAAGUUUUUCGGUGUGGGAUGAGCUCGCGGCCUAUCAGCUUGUUGGUGGGGUAAUGGCCUACCAAGGCGUCGACGGGUAGCCGGCCUGAGAGGGUGUACGGCGACAUUGGGACUGAGAUACGGCCCAGACUCCUACGGGGGGCAGCAGUGGGGAAUAUUGCACAAUGGGCGCAAGCCUGAUGCAGCGACGCCGCGUGGGGGAUGACGGCCUUCGGGUUGUAAACUCCUUUCGCUAGGGACGAAGCGUUUUUGUGACGGUACCUGGAGAAGAAGCACCGGCUAACUACGUG